CUGUGUGCCCCUGUGGUAUUGGGGAUGUAGUCAGGAUGACCAAAGAAAGAGUAUUGCCUCAUCUGCUUGCAACAAGCCCAGGGCACCUGGCAUGGGACGGAUAUGGGCAUAGGAGAGAGCAUGUGAAUCACCCUGGACAUGCAGCUAACAUUCCCAGCUAAUCAGAUAACGCUCUGUAUGGUGCUGUGUUCACCAGUAACUUGUAAUGCGCAAUAGUGGCAAAAAAGUCAUCUGUCCACAAUCAAGAAAUCAGGAAUGGAGAGCCGUUUAGAUGACAAUUUGUGAUUUUUUUUUUUAGAUGAAUGUGAAUCCAUCAAGUAUAAGGGGAUUUUUGCCCAUUACCUUCAGUGAGAACAUAUUUUUUGUUAUGCUUUUGACCUGCCCAUAUCAUAAUUGCAGUAGUCUUUGUUAUUUAGUUAUGAAACUCUUCUCCAUCUAAUCUAAAUAUAAUGUAUGCAGUUUCAGAGGUUUCUUAAACUGCAAACUCCUACUCAGCUGUUUUUCUGACUGGCAAUUAUGGCUCUACUGUGUCUUUAUAUUUGCACCUACCUUGUUUUUUUCCUGUCAUUUUUACUGUCAUUGGUUAUAUAUGUACCUUUCCCAUGAUGAACUGCUGUUCAGAUCACUGUGGGUCUGAGUGUAUGCAAGAUCAAGACACUCAGCAACUCCUAGUUUCCACAGGCACUCAGCUCACUGGAAACGAUCAGUACUUUUUCAACAGACUGCCUAAGCAGUGUAAAAAAAUACACCAAGGAUAAUAACUAGGCAAAUAUAUUUUAAGCAGCAAAUGUAAAUGGGAAGAGAAGUUUCAGUUCAGAAAUUAUGCAGAUGCAGCUAUAACCAAUUUCUUUAAUCUACUGACAAGUGUUUAAUUUUUCAAUUGUCAGGUAGGAAUUGGAAACAAUUCAACUGUUUUAGUAAAUAACUUUUUCUUGCUGUUUUCUAAUGUGGUAUAUUCUUCUAGAUUUUCAAGAAGAUCCUAAUUCUUCAGGUUCAUCUUACGUUCAUGCAAGUAAUUUCAGAAGACACAUUCAGUAGCUAACACCCAUCUCUUGCAGUUGUGCACUACACAACAUUUAUAAUUAAGCCUCUUAGGAAGUUAGCUGCAUGGCCCAUGAUUAACUUCCCUUAAUUCUUUAUUGUUAAAGCUCAGUGCAGAGACCUCUGGAGUAAUCACCCCUCCUUUCCAUCCUGAGCUGCGGAACGGCAACGUGGUGUGUAAGUCAGCAUGCACUACAAUGUCAUCCCAGCAUGGAAGGACUGGGAGGGGAAGAUCAUGUCCAGUGAAUAGAAAUGGAUUCUUGGAUUUUGGCUCUUGAGGUGGCCUUGACUGAACGAAUCUACAGAACAAUUAUGGUACAUAACAGCUGAUUGCUUCUCUGUGCGGCAGUAGAUUAUGAAAUAAGACAAAAUGAGCCUUCAGUA